UACGUAGGGUGCAAGCGUUAAUCGGAAUUACUGGGCGUAAAGCGUGCGCAGGCGGUUUUGUAAGUUUGUCGUGAAAUCCCCGGGCUCAACCUGGGAAUGGCGAUGAAGACUGCAAGGCUAGAAUCUGGCAGAGGGGGAUGGAAUUCCGCGUGUAGCAGUGAAAUGCGUAGAUAUGCGGAGGAACACCGAUGGCGAAGGCAAUCCCCUGGGCCUGCACUGACGCUCAUGCACGAAAGCGUGGGGAGCGAACAGG
rnacentral:rRNA from 1 species